ncrna:unclassified sequences L31-Actinobacteria ribosomal protein leader
CUGGCCCCGGUUCACGUCAUCGCCGAUGACGACCCGGCGACC